AUGAGCUUUUGUGCGCGUGUGUGUUCACCGAGACACCAACCACGCAGCAGGACGCAGGCAGACACCCAGAUGCUGCCCACUCAAUUAUACCCUCAGUGGGUGUGUUUUAGUCGCUGGGCCCUAUCGUUUCUCACCAGCCGGGGAGUCAUCCGUCGGGUGGGGAUGGAGGGAUCGAUAGAGGACGGAUGCAGGGUCGAAAGGGGGAAGAUGGGGCCUUGCGGGGGCCUGGACAGCUGUCUCUCUCUCUCUGGAACUCGCGCUGUCUUUUGUUUUCUCUCACUCUUGUGGCUCCAGUGUUCCUCUUCUCCCUUCUUCCUCCUUCCUCCCUCCUCCCAUCUAGAUUUCCCUGCAUAGGGUUGUCAUAUUUUUAUUCUUUUAGGACUCUAGAGCAACACAGAGCUCCUAAAACGUGGUACUUAUCCAACCUUUGAUUAAGUAUACCCAGGCACGCUUUGAUGCUCUCCCUUCCACUUGCAUUAGUUUUCGUGGGUCUUACUUGUUUUUACCUUUUUAAUGAAUCUGAGACUAAACGCUCUCUGCAAACACACUGAUGGGUAAGCUCUGAUUCGACGGGGGUUUUACCGAGCACUGAAAUGCUGCUUCCGACUUUAUAGUGCAUAGGCGGGGUACAAAACGCUACAAGCACACGAUUGGUCACAGUUAAGUUUACGUAAAUAUCGAGGUGACGGCGGUUCAUCUUUGUGAGUUUUAAGCUGCUGGCGGAUUGUUUUUCCUUCAGAAGGCGUUCGAACAUCUGUGAGCCUCGCGUUACGAUAUCUGCCCUCUACGAACACCAUGUGCUUACUACUGAACGAAUGUUUUACAGCGUCUGUCUGUACUGGGUGUGUGUGUGUGUGUGCGUGUGCGUGUGCAAGACUUGAGUGUAUGAAUUGAACCUGAGGAAAACCAAAGUGCGUGGAGGCGGUACAGAAUGUGUGAGUAGGGUGUGUAUUCAGGCGUCGGUGUGUGUUUUCAGCACUUUUCCAAGACAGGCUCAAUUGUCGCUACCGCGUCCUGAAUAGUCACAGAGAGAAUGGCAGCAUUUAUUUAUUGGAAACUAUAGUUGAUGUAAAGGUACUUUCUCAUCGCCCUCUUUAAUGUGCGACUGAGAGUGUUGCAAGUGUAAAAUAAAAAUGCGUCUCACUUUGUACCUUAAUGGGCCUAGUUAGAGAUUACUGGACACUGGAAACAAUCAAUGUUUUUUCCUGAAUUGUACACAUGAAAUCCUUGUGGAGAAAAUCCUGUAUUUUACACUAGUGUCAGUUUCUAGAUAUGCAAUCAAGCGCCCCCCCCCCCCAUGGAAAGGUCUACACCGCCUGCUCUAAUUGUACUUUAGUGUAGAUUUUACCAUAGUUGUGAAAGAGGGGAAUCACUAUCUGCUGUCCAGGGAUUGCAUAAAAACACAGGUGACACUGUAAAACAUCAUUCUCCGCUCUCCGCUCCUCUAUUUAUAAUCACUGCUGGGCUUUUCUUCUUUCGUUUAGUUUUUUUUUUUUUGUGCUGAAACUUCUGAUGAUUCUGUUUAAGAUUCAUUUGACUACUGUGGAUAAAUAGCUGACCAAAAACAAUGAAUGUAUCCGCCAUAUCUCUCUAAUCCGUUCCAGACGUGCAAACACAUCAAAUCUAAUUUCUCACCGUUAUCUGAACAGACGUACUCUGCUCUGUACUCAAGUGCUGAGAUAGAAAUCUGUACUGAAUCACUCCACUGUUUGAGAAAUUGAAUUUCAUAUCUCUUUUAUUACUUGAGAUACUUUUUCUUUUUUUUUUUCUUUUUCUAAAAAAAAUAAGUGCAAAAUAAUUUUCUCUGUAUGAUGAUAUGACUGAUUUGCUGUAUUUAUUACUGUUAUUUUCUGGGGGUUUAUAUUGAUCAAUCUUCAAGCUUUAGCAUGAAAUAAAUCACUACAUUUCAAAUCACAUAGCGUGGGAAUACAAUUAUUAUGCUUGCAAUAUUUGUUUAUUUCUCUGGCUGUCACAAGCAGAAGGGAUAAUUCAAAGAAAUGUACCCUUCCUCUGUGUGAGUGUCUACAGGUUCACAGGCAUUUAAGCUGCAACUCGUGUUCAGUCCAACAGAGGGCGCUCUAAGACAGUGUUUGCACUGCAUAUGCUUCACCUGAGUGUGCUCUGUCACAACUGUUAGGAGAGUGAAGAGGAUGCUCGGGCCGACAGCACACACACACACACACACGCACACACACACACACUGUCGGUAUCAAAAUACUGACUCAGCGAGUGUGAGUGCAGGACUUGCUUUUACUAUAAGACAGUUGAGCAGAAUGAAAGAUUAUACAGGAAAUUAUUCUCCUUUAGUUAUUUUGGGUAAGAAACCCGUCUCUACUCAGUGUCUGCUCAGAUUAAUCUUAUUUAUCCUGCUCACAGGCUGAAUGAACACAAGGAAGAGAAAAUAAUGUGACAGUUAAUUGGUAUCUGUUAGUGAAUACUCUUCUUUUUCCUCAUCCAGGGACAGGCCAAAGGUCACGGUCAGAACUGACAUUUUCUUGCUGACGGUCUACAUGGACACUGUCCCCUGAUAAAUUGCAUAAUGUCCAUCACCAAGCUUGGGGAGUAACUGAUUACACGUAACAGAGUGAAGGAUACAAAAAACUAUAAUACAUUAGAGUCAGAAAAAGAUGUAAUCUGAUUACAGUUACAUUUAAAAAUUUGGGAUUAUUAGCAGGAUUCCAAUUAUACAAUACAUUUUAUAACAAAGAGCGACAUUCUAUGCCAGACAUUGCAACAUUAGAAACACAGCACCGCUCUGGUCUCAGUCUAACCAUAGCUAAUCCUGCAGUUGCUAAUUCAUUAUCAUGGCCUCUAGUGAAAAAAUCCUUUUGCUGGGUUGAAAUUUCCCCAUUAUUUUGUUGGUAAAGCAGAUAAAAGAUUUACAUCACAGUACAGUGCAUGUUCUGGCCUCCAGCUGUGAAAAUGUCUACUGGCGACUGCCUGAAUUUGCUUAAUGAAAAGCACAUUUUUCUAAAAGAACACUGAGCAGAAGACACAUAUUUGAUCAUAAAAAUAUUGGUUUCCAUUUUUCCCCUAAGGUUAAAUUGUUCUGUUGUCUCACAGAAUAUGUACAAUUGAUAUUUCUUUUCUCUUGUCUUUAUUUUGCUGAGGUAAUCCAAAAAUAAUUAUAAAGUAAUCAAGUUAAUUAAUAUCACAUUAAUAUUGUGAUACGGAUUAGAUUUCUGAUUACAAAUAUUACAUUUUUUAACAGUCCCUUCUCCUCUGUAGUAUCACCCCAUCACUCUAAAGAUGCAUAGUUGUUGUUUAUGACUUGAAAACUACUUCCAUGUUACUGAUAUUAAUUUAGAUCUUUAAUUCCUAACCCCAAGUUUGUUCAUUUGGGAAUGGGGAUUGUUGUGUCUUUCGACUGUUGAUUAUCCAUUUCAAACUAAAAUCACUUUAACUCAACCUUUCAUGACCUAUAGGAUGGUGUUACUUUACUUGGGACAUGGACCACUGAUAUAUAUUCUGUUGCUUAUUAAAGAAAAUCCCAGAGGAACCCAUUUGAUACAGGCUCAGUCUUUUGAAUAAUUUACAUAGACACUUCCUAUUCUAUAAAAUAGAAUAUAAAAAUAAUGAUGGGCCAGACAAGGUCCAGGUGACUAGACUAGAGUUUGCCAUGUCUAUACAAACGGUCCCAUAUUAAAGUAAAGCGAAAAACUACAAAGGGUUUUGUUGUUUUUGUUUUUUUAAGAUUUUUUGGGGGACUUUUAUGCAUUUCUUUGACAGGAUAGGGAAGGACGGGUGAGAGAGAGGGG
rnacentral:lncRNA from 15 species